GACCGCACAGGUGGCCUAUUGGUUAAAGCGUCUGCCUCGGACGAGGGAGGUCGCGGGUUCGAAUCCCGGCCGAGUCA